rnacentral:pre_miRNA from 15 species
CAAGUGCCCCACCCUUCCCUGGCGUGAGGGUAUGUGCCUUUGGACUACAUCGUGGAAGCCAGCACCAUGCAGUCCGUGGGCAUAUACACUUGCCUCAAGGCCUAAGUCAUCGAGGAGU